rnacentral:lncRNA from 1 species
UAUAAACAUUAAUAAAAACAAACAUUUGAAAACUGGUUUUAAAAAGAAAUUUAAAUUCCCUUAAGGUCUUUCUGUAAUAUAUAGAAGCAUUAACAUUUUAAAUCUUAAUUGAAAAACUUGUUUCUAAGAUGGUACCUCUAAUUUCCAUGGGGUCACCUUUAGUCAAGAUGGCGGCUUAAGUAUUCUUUUUUUAACUUUAGCAAAAUGGCGACCAGUCAAGUCAUGUGACCAGUUGGCCAUGUGCUGGCUAAACCAGGAAACAGAACAUUUUAAAACAAGUAUAUAUAAAUUAUUUGAGAAAUAAACAGGACUUUUUUUAAAAAUAAAAUCAGCUUAAUAUGAUUAAAAUUUUAAUUUAUAUUAUUAUUUUUAAAAUUUACUGUUUGUAGACAUGAGAAACCAUAGCACAGUUUACAUUUUUUUUUUCACUUGUAACAACCUUUUCCCUGACCUUUGACAACUUUCCUCUGACCUUCUAUAACUUAUUUUAACCCUCUAUAACUUUCUGUAACAAUCUUUUUCUCUGACCUCCAACAACUUGCUUUAACCCUCUAUAACUUUUACCAUUUGUUUUAACUCUCUAUAAUCUUUUAUUUUAUUUCUCUGACUUUCUUAGACAUUCUUAGAUAAUUUUUUUUCUCUUUAUUACUUGUCUUUUACAUUUUUUUUUAUUUUUUAGUUAACAUAAAAAUUUUGUCAAAGUCCCUUUUAUAGUUCUUAAUAACUUUAAGGCCCCCCUUUUUUUUUUUUUUGAAUAUCCGGAUCAGGACAGAUGGUUCAUCUGCCUGAGCUAGCUCCAUGUGCUCAAGGCAGAGAGACCUGGGGUGGGGGUGCUGCUGGUAACCCCAGACCCUUGGCCAAUCCAGGGGUGGGAAAAAGACUCCUGCGGCCCCCCUGCAUACCAUGUGUGUGGAGCACAGAAAGACGGGUAGCAGAUCUCAGCCUUGUAGCCAUGUUCCCCCAGAGCAGGGAAACAGCCAUAACGGCAGCUGGGGCAGAAACAGUCCUACUGGGCAUGCCUCAGACCCGCAGGUGGGGAUAGAAAGGGGGUGGCGUGGUGGAUCCUGAAUUGAAAACCAAUGAUGAUAACACAGAAUAGACAGGAAAGAACAGACGCCAACCCAAUCCGCCCACGCUGCUCAUAAGGCAAUGGCGCCGGGAAGACGGCGGCAGAACUCGGCGGCUAACUGAGGCGGGUCCAAGUGUCCUUGGCCCGAGUCCAUACCUCCUGGGUCCUGGGUGUCCUCAGAGUGGCAGUCUGUCCACAGGGCGUAUCUGCCGAUCACAGUUGAGGUGGCGCCACGUGCUCAGAGAAUCAAGAAAAGACCCCUGACCCCCUGACCCAUGCAUGCCACGUGCAUAGGGAGAGCAGGGACAGAAAGAGAUGCUUAAGAAACACAUAACACAAAUGACAGCACAUUAGACAGCACAAACAUUAGACAGGACAAACCGCGGCAAAGAAAUGGUGCCCCAAACCAAAAUUACAACCAAACCUUGGACUUUCAUCCAGGGUGGAACCAAGGUUCUCGCAAGUCUGCUUACCCUAUGUCCGAAUUACAAAUACAAAUUCUGCGCAGAUCAAAUCAAGCAACCCUCGGACUUUCAUCCAGGGCAGGACUUCAGGGUCUUCCCCAGAAGUCCGAAUUACAAAUACAAAUUCUGCGCAGAUCAAAUACAAA